GAACUGGUGAGUAACACGUGGGAAACCUGCCCAGAAGCGGGGGAUAACACCUGGAAACAGAUGCUAAUACCGCAUAACAACUUGGACCGCAUGGUCCGAGUUUGAAAGAUGGCUUCGGCUAUCACUUUUGGAUGGUCCCGCGGCGUAUUAGCUAGAUGGUGGGGUAACGGCUCACCAUGGCAAUGAUACGUAGCCGACCUGAGAGGGUAAUCGGCCACAUUGGGACUGAGACACGGCCCAAACUCCUACGGGAGGCAGCAGUAGGGAAUCUUCCACAAUGGACGAAAGUCUGAUGGAGCAACGCCGCGUGAGUGAAGAAGGGUUUCGGCUCGUAAAACUCUGUUGUUAAAGAAGAACAUAUCUGAGAGUAACUGUUCAGGUAUUGACGGUAUUUAACCAGAAAGCCACGGCUAACUACGUGCCAGCAGCCGCGGUAAUACGUAGGUGGCAAGCGUUGUCCGGAUUUAUUGGGCGUAAAGCGGGCGCAGGCGGUUUUUUAAGUCUGAUGUGAAAGCCUUCGGCUCAACCGAAGAAGUGCAUCGGAAACUGGGAAACUUGAGUGCAGAAGAGGACAGUGGAACUCCAUGUGUAGCGGUGAAAUGCGUAGAUAUAUGGAAGAACACCAGUGGCGAAGCGGCUGUCUGGUCUGUAACUGACGCUGAGGCUCGAAAGUAUGGGUAGCAAACAGGAUUAGAUACCCUGGUAGUCCAUACCGUAAACGAUGAAUGCUAAGUGUUGGAGGGUUUCCGCCCUUCAGUGCUGCAGCUAACGCAUUAAGCAUUCCGCCUGGGGAGUACGGCCGCAAGGCUGAAACUCAAAGGAAUUGACGGGGGCCCGCACAAGCGGUGGAGCAUGUGGUUUAAUUCGAAGCUACGCGAAGAACCUUACCAGGUCUUGACAUACUAUGCAAAUCUAAGAGAUUAGACGUUCCCUUCGGGGACAUGGAUACAGGUGGUGCAUGGUUGUCGUCAGCUCGUGUCGUGAGAUGUUGGGUUAAGUCCCGCAACGAGCGCAACCCUUAUUAUCAGUUGCCAGCAUUAAGUUGGGCACUCUGGUGAGACUGCCGGUGACAAACCGGAGGAAGGUGGGGAUGACGUCAAAUCAUCAUGCCCCUUAUGACCUGGGCUACACACGUGCUACAAU
rnacentral:rRNA from 1 species